UACGUAGGGACCAAGCGUUGUUCGGAUUUACUGGGCGUAAAGGGCGCGUAGGCGGCGCGGUAAGUCACUUGUGAAAUCUCUGAGCUUAACUCAGAACGGCCAAGUGAUACUGCAGUGCUAGAGUGUGGAAGGGGCAAUCGGAAUUCUUGGUGUAGCGGUGAAAUGCGUAGAUAUCGUAAGGAAGACCAGUGGCGAAGGCGAAUCUCUGGACAGUUACUGACACUGAGGCACGAAGGCCAGGGGAGCAAACGGG
rnacentral:rRNA from 1 species